GUAAGUAUAGUUUAAACAAAACAUUAGAAUGUGAACCUAAAAAUAGGAGACUACUUCCCCUUACUCAC